rnacentral:piRNA from 1 species
UGCAGGUAUUAUUGCAAGUGG